rnacentral:lncRNA from 1 species
CAGAAAAGUUUGUUGAUCAGUAACAUCCAUUUUUAUUUGACAGGGAAAGCUGAAUGGUGAAACCAUUGUGGUAUCUCUGCUGAAAGAGACUAAUUCCAGAGGUACCGGCGAGAUUUUUCGAAAAAUUUUUGCUCUCUCCCUGAAACAGAGUCCUCAAAGUGAGUGUGUGAAGAAACCAUAUAUCAUGAGUCAUCCAGUCACCAUUUUGUUCUAAUAUCCGUGCUUCCAUGAAAGAAGAUUAUUUGCCCAGUGAAACUCAGACUCACCAGACACAUUGGAUUGAUGGAGCUGGG